CACAUAUGGAAAGGAAAAUUGCCAUUCUAUCAUUUUCCACCAACUGCUGAAAUCUGCUACCUGUUUGCUGAAAUCAGCUCCCAAGAGUUUCGAUUUCAAGGUUUUUGGCAUAAAGUGCUCUGUAGCGAAUAAUCUAAUUUUUCAUCUCUCAUUCAAAAUGAGUUUGAAUACAGAAAACAUGCAUUUAAAACCAUAAGGAGAAAUAAAUACUAACAAGUACUAAAACUCAACUGCUCAUCAAACUCUUCACUUUAUUAACACCUCCCUUUUUGUUAUGUGCUUUAACAUGCUUACAUUUAAUUCAGCUUCAGUCUGCAUUGUUGGGUUGUUUGGAUUUAUUAUUUUUUUUGUUUGUUUGCUUUGUUUUGACAUAAAUAUUUAAACAGAAUUUGAGUGCUUUGCAGUAUUUCACUUUGAAGGAAGAAACACAGAAGGAACACUAGAUGUCUGCACUGUAAGGGUAGUUAUAAAAGAAAUUCAAGAUCCCCUUUCUUUGGGCAUAGUAGGAAAGAGUUCCUUGACUCACAGCUUUCACCUCCCUUCUAACCAGAAAUUUGCCUAAGACUCAUCUCUCCCUCAGCUUUUUGGCAGUACCAGCCUGUCUUAUUUCCCUGGGAAUGAUGCAAUUUGUCACCUGUGCUCUCUUUCUGUAAACAAGAAGGUCACACCCUUCCUUACUACACCACAUGUGUCUGUUUGUCUAAGCUGUUUGAUUCCAAAGACCCUAAAUGGAUUUUAUCCCAAAAUGAAGAACCGCUGGUAAAUUCACCAGAGGUGAGACUGUUCAACCUCACUCAGAGCUGCACAUUAGAAAUGCUCCUGGACUUGUACCUGAGUUUAGAUGAGGAACCAAGCUUUCCUUAAUUUAGGCAGAAGUAUAUCCACAACAAAAUUGAGCACAUUUACAAGGGGAUCAUUACCCGAAACAUCAGUGUUUUCCAGAGAACCAGUUGAGGUCAUCGGUAUGUGUACACAUACACAUUUUUCAUAUGUUUCUCUCUUGAAAAAUCCAACAUUUCAUUGGGGGAAAAAAGCAUUCAAGUCCCAAUAUAAUGAGGCUGUUCAGGUAAAAAUCUUUUUCACAGCUCUAGUACCUUUCUUCUAGAUGACAGCACUGAACUUUAUAUCAUUACUGAUGUACUAGGGACAGGAACGAUAGAUAUGUUAAGCAAUGCUGCUGAUGUUCAGCAUAGUCAAACAGCAGGGAUUUAUCGUUGCUCUGAUGCUAUUCAGCACUUGUUUUACAGUACAAUAAAUUUAGGAUCAGUCAGUCUCUUC
rnacentral:lncRNA from 1 species